rnacentral:sRNA from 1 species
GUUAAAUUUAUUUUUUUUAUUAUUCCUUAAUUUUUUUUUUGUAAUUUUCACUUUAAAUUUAAACACCAACACCAAUGGGCACAAACUAACACAUCUGCCGCCGUUAUAUAGAAAAGAACUCUGCUGGCGAAGGAUUAAUUCGAAAGUGAUUAAUUGCGGUGGUUGUCGGUUGGUUGUUGUCCUCCUGCCUCUCAGCCAGCUCUUGUGUAUGUGCUUGGAAUUGAGUAUCCAGUGUACUUUACAGGCUUCCUUGCUUUCUUUUGGCCUCUUGUUUCACAUUUCUAUGCCGGAGCAGCAGCCAAGUCAGGACGAUGGUGAACAACCGAGCGACAGGUUAAAUGUGAAUCCGUGAUGUUAACGUUUCGAUAUACGAUCUGAGAUUUAUCACAACAUCAUAGAACACACCAGGCCAAACAACAAACACAAUUCCAGGACAGAAGCUUGUUGUUGUUGUUGAUGGUGCUGUAGCUGAGGAUUUCAAUGUGUAGUUGGGCUUUUUCAUCCCACCACCGCCAUUCCACCCACCGCCAUCUACAAAAGAAAAGUAGAAUUGAUAACCAACCCUUAACUACAACAAAACACAUUACAAUGUGUGUUUGCAUGUGAUUCUGUGCGUGUGUGUGUAUGUGUUUGAGUGUUCGAAUGUAUGUGCACUUGAAUUUAUGUUAACCCGCAAUCAGGAAUGAGCAAAGAGCACGGCACAAGUAAAGUUGUCGUCAUCAGACGACUACUCAUCAUCAUCAUCAUCAUCGAUGUCGACGUCGUAGCCAUAUUCCUUCACAUCCUCAAAGUUAUACUCCCACCUCCAAAUUUAUGCUGCUACCCUGUGAUUGUUGUUGUUGCUGCUGCUGCUGAUUUUGUAAGCACUGAGCAUCAAAGAUACAGUGAUUCAUAUUUUAAUGUACGAGUAUAUAUGUACAAAUGUAUGUGCGCCUGUCUACUAUAUACCUAAAAGGACACCAUUUACGGGCCAUCAUCAUCAACCACCAACCAUCGUAGUCCAAUGUGGCUGGCUCAGCUUUACCAAACACCAGCCAGCAUCGCCAUCAUCAUCUAUAUCACAACACACCACCCACUCAACCUUUCACCCGCAACAAUGACACAACUGCAAAGAGAAUUUCAAAGCGACCAGCAGCCAGUGUUGUCGGGCUGAGAACAAAAAUUAAUAAUAAUUCUGAAAAUACUUCUAUGAAAAUCAAAUUUCAAGGAAAUGUUUUAUGAAAAUCAA